rnacentral:rRNA from 1 species
CCCUUAGAUGUUCUGGGCUGCACGCGUACUACAAUGGAACUCGCAUCGAGUCGCGAAACUGAGAAGUAAGCGAAUCUUGGAAUGUGUUCCGUGACCGGGACAGUUGAUUGCAAUUAUUCAACUCGAACGAGGAAUUCCUUGUAAUCGUGAUUCAUCAUAUCGCGAUGAAUACGUCCCUGCCCUUUGUACACACCGCCCGUCGCUCCUACCGAUUGAGUGCUCAGGUGAAUAAUUCGGACUGCAGCAGUGUUUGGAUCCCGAACGCUGCAGCGGAAAGUUUAGUGAACCUUAUCACUUAGAGGAAGGAGAAGUCGUAACA